GACGAACGCUGGCGGCGUGCCUAAUACAUGCAAGUAGAACGCAGUAGCGAACGGGUGAGUAACGCGUAGUUAACUGCGUCAUAGCGCGCGAUAACUGUUGGAAACAAUUGCUAAUACCGCAUACUGUGAGAGGGACCUGCGUUGGGUUAGCUAGUUGGUUAGGUAAAGGCUCACCAAGGCGACGAUACAUAGCGGGUCUGAGAGGAUGACCGGCCACACUGGAACUGAGACACGGCCCAGACUCCUACGGGAGUAAGCAGUGGGGAAUAUUGAGCAAUGGGCGAAAGUCUGAGGCAGCCAUGCCGCGUGUAUGAAGAAGGCUUUCGGGUUGUAAAGUACUUUUAGUGAGGAGCGUUACCUGCAGAAGAAGCCCCGGCUAACUCCGUGCCAGCAGCCGCGGUAAUUC
rnacentral:rRNA from 1 species